rnacentral:tRNA from 1 species
GCUUUAAUAGUUUAAUUAAAACGUUGGUUUUGUAAACCAAAAUUAGGAAAUACCCUUUAAUGCU